AAGCGAAAAGCAAACUAGUUAACGGUUUGAUGGUCGCGCGCUUGCUUGGGUAUUCUGUGAUUAACUAGCGUGACAUCUAGACUAUCUGACCAGGAAAUCUUUAAAACUAGGUACCAUAGAUGAGCGAGUAAUGCAACCAAUGAAUUAUUGAACGAUCAAGAGAUUGAAUAUCUCGGAAGAAACUCUCUCUAUACAAGUAAUAUUUACUUCGGAACGGAGCUUUGUUUGACAGAUAUGAUAAAUUUUCCGGGACCUAGAACUGCUUAAUGUUUGACAGAUAAUAAAUAUUUUAUUCUU